GAGGGGACUGCUGUGGAAGGAAGGAGAGGCCUGCGGCCCCUCCCUGUGGCUGAGAGGGCAUCAGGCCCAGGUCUGGUGGUACAGCCGGGUCCCUGCACCAGGAGGAGUUAGUGAGAGCAGCGCUCAGGAGAUAUCUGGCCCUAGACCAAGAUGAGGAAGGGGGCCGGCUCGGGAAGUCAGAGGCCAACAGGCUCAGAGAGGGGGCUACAUGGGGCCUCGCAAUGAGCAGGCAGAGAGGUCUGAGGCCAGUGCCAGGGUCUGAGGUGAUUGGACUUGUUCUGCUUUGAGAAAUGAACAGAACAAGUCCUGGCCCAGCCGGGUGAGGGGACUCUGGCACUUCCUGGUGGCUGGAUGGAGCAGAAGGUGCUCCCAGGAAGGGGCGCCUUGAGCUUCACAGAUGCAUCUUGGGUGGGGCCCCGGAGGCUGUCCCUGUCUCACCCCCACCUCCCUCCACACACACCUGCCUCCCUGCCAAGCACCAAUGGGUGGGUUCUGUCUUCUGUGCCACUGCAGAUGGCCAGGCGCCUCCGUCCCCUCGGGGCCUCGUUUGGGUCUCAUUCACCCAGGCUUCACUUGCCCUUAGGCAGCAGAAACAUGGCAUCAGGUGGGUGGUGAUCGGAGACGAGAACUACGGCGAGGGCUCGAGCCGGGAGCAUGCAGCUCUGGAGCCUCGCCACCUUGGGGCCCGGGCCAUCAUCACCAAGAGCUUUGCCAGGAUCCACGGUGAGCUGGAGUCUGCACCUGGGCCAUCUUCAUCCCAUCCCUAGUGACCAAGGUCAUUUGCCCUUCCUGUGGCUGAGUUGGGCCUGGUUCUAGGCUCUCUCCACUGCAGCCCACAGGCCCGUCAGCCUCUCGCCCCUUCUUAGGCUCACACAAUGCACAUCUGACGCUCAGCUUCCUGGCUUCCUGCAGGCCCUGCAUCCAGGCUUGUAGAUCUGAGCUGCUGAGAUCCAGGGCAUGUGUCACGGGGUUAUUUUUGAUCAUGAAUGUGCAGCAGGAAGGCCUCGCAGACGUCAGCACCAGCGCACACUUGCUUGGGGCGCCCCUAGUGAAAGGGAGCAGACCACGGCCCUGUAGUCAAUGCCCGGGCAUUGUCCCAGGCAGCAGGAUUAGGGGCAACUCCCAGAGCCCCAGAUGGGUUCAGAAAAUGAAGCUCUCCAGGCUGGUCAGGCCCCCUGAUGACCGAAUGCCACCUGCCUUCCAGAGACCAACCUGAAGAAACAGGGCCUGCUGCCCCUGACCUUCGCUGACCCAGCCGACUACAACAAGAUUCACCCUGUGGACAAGCUGACCAUUCAAGGCCUAAAGGACUUCACCCCUGGCAAGGUUAGGAGGCCGGAUCCCCCUGAGGGGGUAGGGUGAGGGGCAGCCACCUUGUUUCCCCUCCUGCACUGGCCCCAGGGUGGCUUCUCCCAGGAGGCUCCAUUCCAGCUGGAAAGACCCCCAGUUCUCCAGGUGGCCCCACAGAGAAAGGGAAGCACCUUUCCAGAGUUGGGGGUUGGGGUCAGCCCAGGGCCCUCCUACCUCCUCAACCUCCCUUUACUCACCAGGACUUGACACUCAGGGGACAGCCCACCCACUGCAGGACCCUCUGGGCCCCAGGAAUCCCCUUUAGGUGCCAUCUGGGUCUAACCUGGGCCAUGAGGCACACAGACUGGCCUAGGAUUUGGUUUGCCUGCUGACCUCCUAGGUCCCCAGGCAGUGCCCGACCCCCCUGCAGGACCAAAGGCACGCAGUACCCACCACUUCCACC
ensembl:lincRNA